rnacentral:rRNA from 1 species
UACGUAGGGUCCGAGCGUUGUCCGGAAUUAUUGGGCGUAAAGAGCUCGUAGGCGGCUUGUCGCGUCGUCCGUGAAAACUUGGGGCUCAACCCCAAGCUUGCGGUCGAUACGGGCAGGCUAGAGUUCGGUAGGGGAGACUGGAAUUCCUGGUGUAGCGGUGAAAUGCGCAGAUAUCAGGAGGAACACCGGUGGCGAAGGCGGGUCUCUGGGCCGAUACUGACGCUGAGGAGCGAAAGCGUGGGGAGCGAACAGG